CCUACGGGAGGCAGCAGUGAGGAAUAUUGGUCAAUGGGCGCGAGCCUGAACCAGCCAAGUAGCGUGAAGGAUGACUGCCCUACGGGUUGUAAACUUCUUUUAUAAAGGAAUAAAGUGAGGCAAGUGUGCCUUUUUGUAUGGACUUUAUGAAUAAGGAUCGGCUAAAUCCGUGCCAGAAGCCGCGGUAAGAUGGAGGAGCCGAGCGUUAUCCGGAUUUAUUGGGUUUAAAGGGAGCGUAGAUGGGUUGUUAAGUCAGUUGUGAAAGUUUGCGGCUCAACCGUAAGAUUGCAAUUGUUACUGGCAGUUUUGAGUACAGUUGAGGUAGGCGGAAUUCGUGGUGUAGCGGUGAAAUGCUUAGAUAUCACGAAGAACUCCGAUUGCGAAGGCAGCUUACUAAACUGCCACUGACAUUGAUGCUCGAAAGUGUGGGUAUCAAACAGGAUUAGAUACCCGGGUAGUC
rnacentral:rRNA from 1 species